rnacentral:rRNA from 1 species
AUUGAACGCUGGCGGCAGGCCUAACACAUGCAAGUCGAGCGAGCGUCGGACGGGUGAGUAAUGUAUGGGGACUGCCCGAUAGCGGGGGAUACCUACUGGAAACUGUGGCUAAUACCGCAUACUAUCGGAUAACCCAUAUGGGAUUAGCUAGUAGGUGGGGGAAAGGCUCACCUAGGCGACGAUCUCUAGCUGGUCUGAGAGGAUGAUCAGGCACACUGGGACUGAGGCACGGCCCAGACUCCUACGGAGGCAGCAGUGGGGAAUAUUGCACAAUGGGCGCAAUCCUGAUGCAGCCAUGCCGCGUGUAUGAAGAAGGCCUUAGGGUUGUAAAGUACUUUCAGCGGGGAGGCGGGACCCGAAGAAGAAGCACCGGCUAACUCCGUGCCAGCAGCCGCGGUAAUAC